rnacentral:rRNA from 1 species
UCCAGACUCCUACGGGAGGCAGCAGUGAGGAAUAUUGGUCAAUGGGCGCGAGCCUGAACCAGCCAAGUCGCGUGAGGGAAGACGGUCCUAUGGAUUGUAAACCUCUUUUGUCGGGGAGCAAAAGACGCCACGCGUGGCGUUCCGAGAGUACCCGAAGAAAAAGCAUCGGCUAACUCCGUGCCAGCAGCCGCGGUAAUACGGAGGAUGCGAGCGUUAUCCGGAUUUAUUGGGUUUAAAGGGUGCGUAGGCGGAAUGCCAAGUCAGGGGUAAAAUCGCGGGGCUCAACCUCGCUCCGCCGUUGAAACUGGCGUUCUUGAGUGGGCGAGAAGUAUGCGGAAUGCGUGGUGUAGCGGUGAAAUGCAUAGAUAUCACGCAGAACUCCGAUUGCGAAGGCAGCAUACCGGCGCCCGACUGACGCUGAGGCACGAAAGCGUGGGUAUCGAACAGGAUUAGAUACCCUCGUACC